GGAAUAUGGCGCAACUGGUAGACGCGUAUGCCUUAGGAGCAUAAUGUUAUGGGUUCGAAUCCCAUUAUUCCC
rnacentral:tRNA from 1 species